ACACUUUGAGAGGCGACAGCGAGAGAACAAGUCACAGAAAACAAGAGGAGAGAAAAAUGUUUGGAUUGAAAUCUUUUAAAUUAUCUCUGCUUCUGACAUGGAUGCUUCCAUUUACAGCUGAAACUCAAAGAUUUUCUUCUAUUACUGUGACGGUUGGAGAUGACGUCACUUUGACUUGUGAAGGUGUCAGAGAAUUUAAUGAUGAAUGUAAAAGUACUACAUGGUUCUACAGUGUCUCAGGAAAAGCAGUGACACUGUAUGACUACGGGAAGGUUCACAGAGAAGCUGGAUCUAAAUCAGACAGACUGAGUGUUACAGAAAAAUGUUUCCUGGUUAUAAAGAAGGUCACAGUGAAGGAUGAUGGUCGUUACACCUGCAGACGGUUUCACUCAGCCAUAUUUAGAGACUCUUAUGUUUUACUUUCUGUUACUGACAG